GAGCAAUUUUUCAAAUCAUGCAAAAAUGGAAAUUUAUUUUUAAAAUCAUGCAGGAUCCGAAAAUAUUUUCGGAUCCUGUGUGUCAACGCACUGGGUUCGGCAGCUAUCUUGCCGAAGAAGAAGAAGUUCGGCACCUAUGGUGCCGAACUGUUGUCAGAGUCACUUGUUCGGCACCUAUGGUGCCGAACUGUUGUCAGAGUCACUUGUUCGGCACUUAUAGUGCCGAACAAGGGGGACCGUGCCACGCGAGCAGACUAAUCUACUCGCGUGGCUGCAGCGUGGCAUGUUCGGCACCAUUGGUGCCGAACAAGCACGAGGAUCAAGGCAUCUUGAUUAAAGAAUGUGUUCGGCACUUAUAGUGCCGAACACUUUUAUUUAGUUAAUUAAAAGAUGGCUUGCACGGCGUGCAGCCCUGCACCUGCAUUGGCCGUGCAAGCCCUGCAUGCAUG
rnacentral:lncRNA from 1 species